rnacentral:lncRNA from 1 species
UUCUCAUAUUAGUUUAGUCUCUCGUGCCGUAAACAUCUCCUGAAAUUGUCGUCUAAAAUAUAAAAGCAAACAAAAAAAUUCUUUGCUCCCAAAAACUUUUCGAAUCUUUUCGAACGAUUUUUAGCAAACGGCAAAGUGUAAAUUUUUGUAUUUAUCAAAAUUAUUCGGGCUCCAGUUAAUCGCUUCUUUUUUCUUUAGUUUCCUCCUGAAAGAUGUGUAAUACUGCCUGUGGUUCGGUGUCGUAUGCCCUGGCCUACGGUCCAGUGGGUCCCGCCCUGCCCGCAAUGAACUACAGCAACUGCUGCUGUGGUCCCUGCCCACCCUGCGGGCCCUGGACCUGUCCGCCCAACCGCUGCUGUGGCUGCGGCGAGUAUGGAUGCUUUGGACCCUACUACUGAGGAGACUCGAAGCGGAGCAAAACGAAGUCGAAACACCUUGCAGAACUAGAGGAGCGAAGAUUUUGUUUGUUGCUUUUAUACAGCUUUACAAUAAAUUAUAAUGUCUUGAAAAUUACUCGA